AAGAGGCAAUGGCACAAUACACACUAUAAGUACAUAGAUGCUGAAUGAUUAGUUCAUUUGUUUUUUUUUUUUGUUUUUUUUUGCAGCCUUACUGUAUAGUGUAAUUUUGUUAUAGGUAUCCAUCAAACUGUGACUAUGUGAAUGUGGCCAAAGCUCUCAUCUUAAAGUUUCCCUUCUUGAGAGAUGUGGAGGGCAAUGGAUAUCAUACCUGGCACAUGUCCUUAAAAAGAAAAUUCAAAAGUGAACGUGCUCCCCUUGUCAGUGAUGAAGAGGUAAAGAGGUUUAAAGAACGGUUUGGCCAUGGUGUCAAGAGACACAAGCCACCAGAAACAACUUGUCAAAGAAUUGAUAGUCCAUCGGUCUAGCAACCAGAUGUUGUUGGUGAAGAUUCCAUCUCAGUGGAUGCUCAUGUAAAGAUUUUUCAAGAACAGUACCAGAGGACACAACCAGACAAUGCAGUAGUCAAUGAACGAAUGACUCGGACGUUUCAUUGGAGAAGAAGAGAGAUCACACAUGACAUGAUGACUGCACAAGCUAUUGAAAAAUACCCCUUCCUUCGAACAGCCACUGGCUUGUGUCAGGAAGUCGGGCGAAUACACAGUCACUGACCUAAAUCUGCGCUUCCGUGAGAACUUCAGUGAGAUGGUUCCCAGUCUGCUGAAGCUGUUGCGAGGAAAAUCUACAAUUGAAAAAGCAUAUGCGGACUCGAGAGGAGAGGCACUUGUUGAAGACACAAUUGGAAUGGACUUUAAAGCUGCACUUAUACUCCUGCCUACAGUCUUCAAAGAGAAGCUGGAGAACUAUAUAUCACUGGGAAAGGAGGAACCUGCCACACCAUAUCCCAUUGUUCAACUACUGGAUUCCUGUGACUGGAAGGUCUUCUGUGAAAGAAGGAAUGCUGCUGUUGUUAAAAUGGAGGGUUUAGAAAUCUGCAGAACUGUGAGUGUGGAGGAUGCCAUUCUUGCAGCAUUCUAUGCCUACUUCACUUUCAACCUGGCCUACCCCCCUCACAUCAGGAAUACGCUAACAUUUAUCCAAAGACGUGCUCAAAGUGUCUGAAGCUGGUGACAAGCCACUGCCAACUGCUAUUACUAGGAUCAUUAACCUUUUGGCAUAAUAGAGAAUGCCACAGCCGUAUUGUUGUCCUAUCUGCUCGCGCAGCUUUUUCACAUUGUUGAAAUUGGUACAGCAUAUUGGGUUAAUUCACUCGCACCAAUCAGAUAUUAGUGUAAGUUGUGGUCUUGAUAACUGUCAAAGAACUUUUACCAAAUAUGAGUCUUUUAGGAGGCAUGUCUACAGAAAACAUAAAACGCAGAUUUUGCCACAUAUUCCAAAUGAUGCUGAAGAUGUCAGUGGUGUAUCUUCAGAAGAAGUAACUUUAGAGAAAGAUGCUACAGAUGUGCAUUUACUGCCUAACAAAAAGGAAUUACUAACAAAUUUCAGGGAGAAUUUUGUUAAUUUCACAUUAAAAUGCAGAGAAAAGAAUGUUCUACCAAAAUCUGUUCAACAGGACAUUCUUGAUGAUAUUAAGAAUUUGUUUAGUGAUUUUAAGGAACACUAUGAUUCCAUAAUUUCUUAUCAUCUCCAGCAGAAUGGUUUCAGUGUUGAAGAUUGUCCUGAGCUAUUGGAACUUUUAAAAUCUGCAGAUUUUUUUGAGGAUGCCUCUAAAGUAAUACGCUCAGAAUAUUUGCUAGAAGAAUAUUGCAAAUCUAACUUGGGAAUGACUGAACCUCUGCAGUAUAAAGUAAAAGAUCUGUCAGGCCAGGAAAUUGGAAGUUAUGCUUAUGUACCAGUAAUUGAUGUUUUAAAAAAAAUAUUGUGGUCACGAAGAUAUGGGAUCACAUGCAAGCACUCAGUAUGCAAAAAAGAGAUGAACAUGUGUUGAAGGAUUAUCAAGAUGGUUUGUUCUUUAAACAACAUCCAUUUUUCUCUGUCAAUCCAGAAGCGCUGCGUUUGCAUUUUUAUGAAGAGUUUGAAGUGGUUAAUCCACUAGGUUCCAAAAAAACAAAACACAAACUCUGUGCCUUUUACUACACUGUAGGCAAUAUUGGUUGCAAGUACAGGUCUAAGGUAAAGCACAUUCAUCUGGCUCUGUUGAUCAGAAAUGCACUGUUUAAACAAACAAAUAUGGACGCUGUUCUGAAACCAUUAAUUGAUGAUUUAAAAGUACUUGCAACUGAAGGUUUUGUUGUAACCUUUGGUGACCACAACUACAAAGUACAUGCUGCGUUGGCUACCUUCUCUGGAGAUAAUUUGUCUGCUCAUAUGAUUGGUGGAUUCAAAAUGUCAUUUAAUUCUGGAUGAAUUUGUCGCUAUUGCAUGGCAACCCAUUCAAAUAAGAAGGAACACUUCAGUGAGGACCACUUUAUUUUGAGAACUGCUGAUGUCCAUAGAUAUCACCUGGACUGUAUGAGGGAGAAUUCAGCAAACAGUGCAAUAUAUGGUGUACAGCGUAGUUGUCCUUUUAAUGAACUUGAUUAUUUUGAUGUUACAACAUCACUACCUGCUGACAUCAUGCACGACUUACUAGAAGGAGUAAUACCAUUGGUAAUGAGACUUGUUUUAUGUAAAGCUCAUUGUGAGAAACAUAUAACAAUACAAGAAGUUAAUGAAGAAUUAAAACACAUUUCAUUGGGUAAAAAUGACAAAAAAUAAACCUGCUGAAAUCUCUGAAAAAAUAUUGCAAAAUUCUGGUAUUAGUGGGUCAGCUGCACAAAAAUGGUGUCUCUUUAGACUCUUGCCUUUUUUGGUAGGCCAUCGUAUACCAUCCAGUUGUAGGUAUUGGGGUGUGUUUCUUUUAUGCAGAGAAAUAGUAGAUAUUGUUCUUGCACCUGUAAUUAACAGAGAAUUCCUUCCUGUACUUGAUGCUGUUGUCAAAGACUUCCUGUCAGAGUUAAGUUAUGUAUUAGGUAAAGAUGUAAUAACACCUAAAUGUCAUUAUCUUAUACAUUAUUCAAGGCUUCUUUUGUCAUAUGGACCCUUGCGCUCACUUUGGUUCAUGCGUUUUGAAAGCAAGCAUCAGUACUUUAAAACUGUGGCCAGGACAUGUAGGAAUUUUAUUAAUAUUCCUGUAACUCUAAGCAAACGUCACCAGUUUAAACAGUGCUGGGAAUUUUCUUCAAAAAACUUGUUGGGAGAUUAUGAAAAAAUGUCUGGUGUAAGUGUGGACACACAGUUUACAUCUUUACCACAAGAGCUUCAGAGUAGUCUAAGAUUCAACAGGGCACUGAAAGAUACAGAUUUGUCUGGGAAGACACUUCAGUGUGUAACAGAAGUAAAACUUGACAAUGUCAAGUAUGCUGUAAGGGAUGUAUUUGUAAUUGGCUUUGUACAUACUGAAAAUAUUCCCUUAUUUUUUCAAGUGAAAUACAUUCUAAAUGUGGACACUGUGUGGCUUGUGUGUGGGAAGUUACUACUUCCAUUAUCAUUUGAUGCACACUUUCAUGCAUAUGAGGUUGCAUAUGACCCUGAUUGGGUUUGUGUACUCCCAGGGGAUGAAUCUGACUCAGCCACUUGACACAUACAUGGCCGAUGGACGUUUGUUAGUGGUAUGCAGACAUUCAUAUAUGUGAAUUUGGGUGAUGCUAAAGUGAAGAGUAGUGUAUGCAAGUGCUUAAAUGAAAACUCUGGUGUGAAAUGCACUUGGGGUGUCGUGAAACAUGUUGAGUACGAACAAAUGGGUAGGCUAGUUUAACAGCUUGCAAAAGGAAGUUUGUGGAAGUGCAUGAAUUACAUCUAUUGUUGAAAUUAUCUGGUGACUAUCUACAUGAGAAUAAAUACAAAAACAAUAAAUUACAAACUUAGCUCAAAAGGUUUUAAAAUAUGACAGGCAACUUGCCAUAACCUAACUUUAAAAUGGUGGCAUCUGGAGAAGUAGCUUUAUGCUACACACUUUUUCUUUAGGGUCUUAUAUAUCUUUUUAAUAAACUUCACUUGCAUUCUCAGUUCUCAAUACCUUGUUUUAAAUGUCAGGGCUCUCAGAAUUCUACCAAUUAAGUGUGGCGCUGCUUUGAGCUUGUUAAUGGUGAAAACACUAUGCCCUAUACCUAUAGUGCUAAUUCUUCAAAAGUUAGUACUCGUAAUCAUAUUUUACUAUACCCCAAGUCCAUUUCACACCAGUGUUCACCUUUUAAAGCUUGAAUAUGAAAAUUAGCAUUGACCUGAGCAGUGAUUCUGAUAUUAGAUGGAUGUUAUUUAGUUAAAUGUCGAUAUGAGUUAUGUUCUUAUUCAUUGUGAGUUAUCUACACUGUUUUUAUGGGCUAGGUAAAUGUUUUUACUUUGUACUGUUUAAUUACAAUGAAUGUAAGCCUAAUAUAACCAAUUGUCAAGUCCUCCAGGCAGAGUUGAAGGUUUUUGUUUUUAAUGUUGUUUCCAAAGUUUAAAUAUUUUUUAUUGUUGAUAUUUUAUAACUAGCAUUUUCACUCUUAUACAUGUAUGCCAUUACAUUUUCAUUUUAAUUUCACUGAUGGCUGUGUAUGUUGUAUGCUGAUAUGUUGGUUGUUUUACUGUAUAAUGAACUGUUUACAUGCAACAUUUUUAUUAAGUCAGUGGCUUUAACCUUUAAUAAACUGGAAUAAAACUU